UACAGAGGUCUCAAGCGUUGUUCGGAAUCACUGGGCGUAAAGGGUGCGUAGGUGGCGUGGUAAGUCAGAUGUGAAAGCCCGGGGCUCAACCUCGGAAUUGCAUCCGAUACUACCAUGCUAGAGUAUUGGAGAGGAGUCUAGAAUUCACAGUGUAGCAGUGAAAUGCGUAGAUAUUGUGAGGAAUACCAAAGGCGAAGGCAGGACUCUGGACAAUUACUGACACUGAUGCACGAAGGCUAGGGGAGCGAACGGG
rnacentral:rRNA from 1 species